GUACUGUGGGGAUUGUCCCAUGACCUGGCCUGGUCAGGGCCCCAUUCACUGUGAAUGGAGUCCUGGCCGGGCCGGGUCAUAGGACAAUUGGAGCCUGGUGGCUUAUCCAGGGGUGUGGUGUGACACAAGGGAGGAAAGGGG